rnacentral:rRNA from 1 species
CGGCAGGCCUACACAUGCAAGUCGAGCGCGCCCUUCGGGGUGAGCGGCGGACGGGUUAGUAACGCGUGGGAAUAUACCCUUUGGUACGGAAUAGCCUCUGGAAACGGAGAGUAAUACCGUAUGAGCCCUUCGGGGGAAAGAUUUAUCGCCAAAGGAUUAGCCCGCGUUAGAUUAGGUAGUUGGUGGGGUAAUGGCCUACCAAGCCUACGAUCUAUAGCUGGUUUUAGAGGAUGAUCAGCACACUGGGACUGAGACACGGCCCAGACUCCUACGGGAGGCAGCAGUGGGGAAUCUUGGACAAUGGGGGCAACCCUGAUCCAGCAAUGCCGCGGUGAGUGAUGAAGGCCCUAGGGUCGUAAAGCUCUUUCGCCUGUGAAGAUAAUUGACGGUAGCAGGUAAAGAAACCCCGGCUAACUCCGUGCCAGCAGCCGCGGUAAUACGGAGGGGGUUAGCGUUGUUCGGAAUUACUUGGGCGUAAAGCGCACGUAGGCGGACUUGGAAAGUUGGGGGUGAAAUCCCGGGGCUCAACCCCGGAACUGCCUCCAAAACUAUCAGUCUAGAGUUCGAGAGAGGUGAGUGGAAUUCCGAGUGUAGAGGUGAAAUUCGUAGAUAUUCGGAGGAACACC